GACAGAGGGUGCAAACGUUGUUCGGAAUACUGGGCGUAAAGCGUGCGCAGGCGGUUUUGUAAGUCAGAUGUGAAAUCCCCGGGCUUAACCUGGGAACUGCGUUUGAAACUACAAGGCUAGAGUGUGGCAGAGGGGGGUGGAAUUCCACGUGUAGCAGUGAAAUGCGUAGAGAUGUGGAGGAACACCGAUGGCGAAGGCAGCCCCCUGGGUUAACACUGACGCUCAGGCACGAAAGCGUGGGGAGCAAACAGG
rnacentral:rRNA from 1 species